rnacentral:lncRNA from 1 species
GCCAAAAAUUAAAGAAUAAUAAAAAAAAUCAGAGAAGAAGGAAGAAAAAGAUGAAGUUGCACUGUUAAGAUAAAAUUGCACUGUUUUAAAAUAACGUUGAACUAUUAUGGACGUAAGUUGCACUAUUUGAGAUGUAAAUUGCACUCUUUAAGAUGAUAGUUACACUCUUUAAACAAAAAUAGUACUCUUUAGGAGAUAUUUACACUGUUUCUUCUCUUAUUGUACUUUUUCAGAUGUAAACUGCGUCCUUUAAAAUAUGUGGGAUCGCUAUAGGUAGGGCCGCCUUGAUAUUUAGCAUCCACUCUUCCAUCGAUCUUUGGCGGAGGAAUACGUGGUGGUCGUAGCCCUCUACGAUCUCUGCGAGAUCCUCGCGGCCAAACUCCCAACCGUUGGAAUCCUACCUCAUCGGCUGCGGCGGUGGCAGAGGAGGAAAAGGAGAGAUGGUGAUCAAUCUUUUUUUUUUAUUUGUAAUCGGGCGAGUGGGCUGAGUGUGGUUGGCUGAGUUGAGAAAUUUUUAUUUUUGAUUGGAUUGUGCUUUAUAUUUAUACUCUAGUAGAUUUUUUCAAAAAGUAUUGGCAUAAAUUGGACACUUAUAUAAAAGUGUCUAAAAAUUAUGUCCCUAUAAUGUAAUUCUAUUGUAGUGCUAUUCUGGAAUUUUGU